UACGAAGGGGGCUAGCGUUGUUCGGAAUUACUGGGCGUAAGGCGCGCGUAGGCGGCUUUGCAAGCCAGAGGUGAAAUGCCUGAGCUCAACUUAGGAAUUGCCUUUGGGACUGCAAGGCUUCGAGGACUGGAGAGGUGAGUGGAAUUCCCAGUGUAGAGGUGAAAUUCGUAGAUAUUGGGAAGAACACCAGUGGCGAAGGCGGCUCACUGGCCAGUUUCUGACGCUAAAGUGCGAAAGCGUGGGGAUCAAACAGG
rnacentral:rRNA from 1 species